rnacentral:rRNA from 1 species
CGGGUGACGGGGAAUCAGGGUUCGAUUCCGGAGAGGGAGCCUGAGAAAUGGCUACCACUUCUAUGGAAGGCAGCAGGCGCGCAAAUUACUCAAUCCCAAUACGGGGAAGUAGUGACAAAAAAUACUAAUGCCUUUCCAUUUAUAUGGGGGGCAAUUGGAAUAAGUACAACUUAAAUCGCUUAGCAAAAGUGAUUGGAGGGCAAGUCUGGUGCCAGCAGCCGCGGUAAUUCCAGCUCCAAUAGCGUAUACUAAAUUUGUUGCAGUUAAAAAGCUCGUAGUUGAGAUUGAGACUUCUUGGGUUUAGCAGCGUUGUCGCCUUCGGGUUGGCAAUUGUUGUAAAGCUCUGUAGUGGGAUUUUUAUUCUCAUUAUUUGAGUUACCAAGUAGUUUCCAACUGCCCAUGGUAGCUGGCAACAGCUAUCUGAUCGGGUGAUCUACUGUGAGAAAAUUGUAGUGUUCAAAGCAGGCGUCUUUCGCUUGUUCAAUGCAGCAUGGUAUAGUAAAAUAUGACACUAAAUAUAUGUUGGUUGUAUAUCUUUAGUGUAAUGACUAAUAGGGAAGGGCGGGGCCGU